UAAGGCCCUGAUCGAAGCCGGGUUAGAGGAUUAUCCAUAAGACCGUAACUAGCUUGGUCAAACAGAGGCCGACAUAGAGGCUUUCCCUUGACGGUCGCUGCUCUGUGCUGUUGUCCAGCAACAUUGUGGGGAAAUACAGCU